rnacentral:lncRNA from 1 species
AACUACUGAUCUAUAAUCCAAAAUCUCUCGUCAAGUCCACCAACUUAUACUCUUGUGCCAUUACCUGUAAUGCAAAUAAAACUGAGUGGGUCAGGCUUGCGAGCCUGGUGAGCAUAUAGGGUUUUCAACCCACAAUAAUAUAUUUAUUAUAUUCAAUCAUCAAACAAUCAACCCAAUUACCCAUCCCCAUUAUCUUCUUUAUUUCUUAAGGUUUUACCCUAAGAAUCGACUAUCCUUCCUUCAUUCAUUCCUAAGGAUUUACCUAAGGAAUUGGCACGAUACCAUUGUUGUCAAAGUUUAUCUAUCAGGUACUAAAUCCAUAGCUAUCAGGCACUAACUCCAUAGUCACCAAGGUUUAUGUAACAGGCGCUAACUCCAUAGUCACCAAGGUUCACUUAACUGGCGCAAACUCCAUAUUCGUCGGGGUUUAUCUCGUUUAUUGACAGUAUUGGUUCCGAUACAUCCUCUAGCAAUACAUAUCAAUGGGUUUUUAGAGUACACCGGUGAACAUCAAGUCUACAACACCUACAAGUUGCGAUCCUGCUAGUGUACCAUAGGACUGUCUAGAAUAGUCCGCGGUUGUCAUCCCUACUCUGCUGAAUGACGUGAGCCAUCAUUUGGGUAAAGGUUUCACUCAUUUUUCACCUAUCACACUCAUCUCAUGAUCUAUAUCAUCUUUCGUCUCAUCCUCAAACUAAUCUUUCCUCACACACCAACUAUUUCAUCUACCCAUGUUCUACCCAACACAUUUGUAGAUAUAAAUUACAUAUAUAGUUUAAAUCAUUUAAAAAUAUGUAUAAAACAUUCAUUCAACAACCAUCUCAAGUAAACAAACAAUGUAUAAACACAUAGCACGUAUUUCAUAGCAAAUACUUCAUAUCUAUGCGGUAGAAGAAAGUAACAACACACUCACACAAAACAUAUACUUAAUACAUUCAAGCAAUACUUGUAUUAAAAUCGUGUUAUGAAAGGGACUAUACACUCACUUGAUUAGACGAUGCUCGGACAACACUACGGCUUGUAAAAGCAGUAUUCUUCGGUAGAUCUGGAAGAUCUUCGCACACCAGGCUUCUCGCAGGCAGAGCUUCGGCUCGGAAACUCUUUUCUUCUAGGGAUCUUCGGGCUUUGGGACUUGCUUCGGGUCUCGGGAUGAUACCAGGGCUUCGGGGGGAGGGGGUUAAAAUAGGGCUUAGAGAGGGUAUCGGGAGUGGGAGAGAAGAGAUUGAGCAACCAAACUCGGCUGCCCCUUGAAUUCUAUUUAUAGGGCCAUUUUUCUGGAUUCACGUCGUGAGUUCAAUAGUCAUCAGGUGCAUCAUCGCAACUUGUGUUUUUCAGGCUCCAAAAGUCAUAAAUACUGAGUUCACGUCGUGAACUCUGACAGUUUUGGGGUUUCGUGCCUCGAACUUCAGAAAUUCAUAACUUUCGCAUACGAACUUCGUUUUCGACGUUCUUUAUAUCGACGCAUAGGUAAAAACAAGAUCUACAACUUUCAUUUAGACUUCGUCGGAUAAUUUUGACUCUAUUUUUAUUAUAUUAUUUAUAUAUUAUUUUUAGUAGGCCGGGACAGGAAAACUCCGUUAUAAACUCGUAACUUCUUCAUAUGUGGUCCGUUUUCGUCUUUCUUUUUACCGUUGGACUACAAUUGACGAGAUCUUCAAUUCUCGUUUAGAUUGUUUCAACUAAAUAUCGCUAGAUCUCAUAUUCGAACUUCGGGCUGCAUACUGCUAAUGCUGAAACUUCGAAAAAUCAUAACUUCCUCAUACGAAGUCAGAUUUAGACGUUAUUUUUAUACACGCUAUCGGUUUAACAUAUUCUACAACUUUCAUUUAUAUCGCUAAGGCCAAAUAUCUCUCUAACAUAAAUUCACUAUUUACGUCGCGCUGUGUCGUGUCGGUUCUGUCGCGAAACUUCGAUAGGUCAUAACUUUUUCGUUAUAACUCGGAUUUUGGCGUUCUUUAUAUGUACGGAAUCCCUGUAACAUAUACUAUAACUUAGUUAAGAUUAAUCCUUCUAAAUAAUCUUCCAUAAAAAAGUCAUUUUUGAUGCUUAUCGUCUCUAAAUUGACUAGCCCGGAUCUACGGGCGUUACAAUUAUCUCCCCUUAGGAUGAUUACGUCCUAGAAUCAUCAACGAAAAUAGGACUUGUAUAAUGAUUCCAUACAUUAUCUUUUCAUCCUAGGUAAUAAUCAUAACUUCUAUGUUUCUUCGAAUGACUAUCUAACUCUUGGACUUCUUGACCGCAAACGAUGCUCAAUCUUGCACCUGCCCUUCGUACGAUGUUGGACUUUCAAUCGUAACCUACGAGUUACAAAAUAAAUCCCUAUUGAGGACUCCUUCUUCUUCUUAGGAUAAGUACUUUCCUUUAUCUAUUGUAACAGACCGAUGGGUCGUGUUCUAAUGACCUCUCAUCGUAUGAUGCAACACUUAGACUCAAGUCUCUUAGAGUCAAAUUCCAAAAUGGAAUAUACCUUCCUUCAUAUUCUAAUGUGAUCUAAUCACAUUUUUACAUGUAGCAUUUCUAGCUACAAGCUUCCUUAACAACGAGCGCGAUGCUAUCAAUCGCAUUGAUUUCAAUCUUCUGACUUGAGUCAGAUGCUACCUCGAACUUGGUUCUAUGAACCACGUAACAAACUCAUCGUAGUCAGACUCAAUUUGAUAUGUCCGCUAGAGUCAGAAUAUCAAUCAUCUUUUUUGUCAUUACCAAAACAGUGGUAACGACAUACUUGAAUAAAAACAAACUCAAUUACAAGCUUCUUGGUAACCUUGUGACUUUCCCUGAUCCAAGCAUGAUCUUGUGCUUCCAGUAGCAUAACUCAUACUCGUCCCAAGUAUUGUCUCGCAGUCCCCAAGUCCUAAAAUCACAAAACAAUUUAACAUAUGCGAAUGUGUCCAACUAAUCAUAAAAAUUCUCCUAGACUCUACUAGGACUUCUUCCAUGUGCAUCUUCACUCAUCAAUUCUAGUUCAACUCAGUUGGUGAUGGACAUUCCUGACGAUGGGACAACUUCAAGAAUUACACCAAUCAUUCCAUCAUCCUGCUAAUUGAAGGUGUACUUCAGAUGUACCGUACUCCUCUAAACGUUCCGUAAUUUUAUCAAACAUAUUCUAAAGGCAAAAUACCACUCUUACAAUAUCUUCUGAUAGGUGUCAUUCACUAUCAUAAGCCUUUCAUUUCCUCCAUUUACUCAAUUCUCUACGAGUCUUCACCAUAAUGUUCUAUACACCAAAGCAGACGUUCGGUGUAUCGAGACGAGAAUAUAGAUAGAGGAAGGUUUAGACGUGUAAUCCUCCUUAUUACUCAGAAAAAUUACAUGCCAGUUCUAAUAUCGUAAUUAAACAUUUAGAACCCUGAGUAGAUAAAAUUUCUAGAUCCGGUCAAAAACAGACCAUAUAUCCAAACAAAUAAUAGCAUAUAAGGCAAACAUAUAACAUUUAGCACAUAAAAGCAUUUUAGGCAUCUUUCCUAAAAUAUACUAGUGCUCGUGUCUAAAAUAUGGUAGACACUCAUCUCACAGUCAUCGCUUAGCAUUUUAGGUUUAAGUCUAGAAAUCCUAUAAAUUCUUAGUUCACUGAAACUAAUGCUCUGAUACCAACUGUGACAUCCCCAAUUUCACGGCCAGAAAAGAUCGAUUUUUUUAUGCAUUGUUUUUAUAAUCAGAGUAAUCAUUUAAAGAAAACUGUUGCGGAAUUUGUCCAAAAAAAAUAUGAUAACCAUUUAUCAAAACAUUUCUUUAAAGAAAUGUAUUUUCAUUAAAUAAAAAAUCUUGGGAUGUCAUGUUCCGAUACAGACCAAAAGCAUAAACAGUAUAAAAUAGAACUUACAACAGUUAUUUUAACUACUGAUCUAUAAUCCAAAAUCUCUCGUCAAUUCCACCAACUUAUACUCUUGUGCCAUUACCUGUAAUGCAAAGAAACGCGAGUGGGUCAGGCUUGGGAGCCUAGUGAGCAUAUAGGGUUUUCAACCCACAAUAAUAUAGUUAUUAUAUUCAAUCAUCAAACAAUCAACCCAAUUACUCAUCCUCAUUAUCUUCUUUAUUUCUUAAGGUUUUACCCUAAGAAUCGACUAUCCUUCCUUUAUUCAUUUCUAAGGAUUUACCUAAGGAAUUGGCACGAUACCAUUGUUGUUAAAGUUUAUCUACCAGGUACUAAAUCCAUAGCUAUCAGGCGCUAACUCCAUAGUCACCAAGGUUCACUUAACUGGCGCUAACUCCAUAGUCGUCAGGGUUUAUCUUGUUUAUUGACAGU